AAAUACUCUCCAAAAACCUCUGUUCUUCUUCUUUUCUUAUCUCCCCCAAAUUGUUUUCUUAUCACAUUCAAUCCCUUCUUUCCAAUCCUCUCUUAUCCAUCCUUUAUCUUAUCAGCCAGGAUGUAAAAUCCAACGUCAUUGUAGGAGAAGAAGUAUAAGUGGACAAUGUUUGAUAAGUCAAUUCAAAAGGGACUAGCAACUGACCAUCAAACAGGGGCCCACAUUUGUAUGAAUAUCAUCUGUAAUGGAGGCAAGAUCAGCAAGAUGACCGGAGCCACAAGCUACAUGGAGCUGGAGAUUCCAAUUCCUAUAUAUAAAUAUUAGUAUAUUUUAUAUGUAUUUAAUUUGUCCACCAAGUUACCUCCGUUGGAUAUCUUUCUAUUCUAAGGGUUAAGUGAUUCGCUUUUA